rnacentral:rRNA from 1 species
GUGUCAGCAGCCGCGGUAAUACGGAGGGUGCAAGCGUUAUCCGGAUUUACUGGGUUUAAAGGGUGUGUAGGCGGACUUUUAAGUCCGUGGUGAAAUCUCCGGGCUCAACCCGGAAACUGCCAUGGAUACUAUUUGUCUUGAAUGUUGUUGAGGUGGGCGGAACGGGUCAUGUAGCGGUGAAAUGCAUAGAUAUGACCCGGAACACCGAUUGCGAAGGCAGCCCACUAAGCAAUGAUUGACGCUGAGGCACGAAAGCGUGGGGAUCAAACAGGAUUAGAAACCCCCGUAGUCC